rnacentral:rRNA from 1 species
GAUUAGAGUUUGAUCCUGGCUCAGGAUGAACGCUGGCGGCGUGCUUAACACAUGCAAGUCGAACGAUGAUCCCAGCUUGCUGGGGGAUUAGUGGCGAACGGGUUGAGUAACACGUGAGUAACCUGCCCUUGACUCUGGGAUAAGCCUGGGAAACUGGGUCUAAUACCGGAUACGACCAUCUGGCGCAUGUCAUGGUGGUGGAAAGCUUUUGUGGUUUUGGAUGGACUCGCGGCCUAUCAGCUUGUUGGUGGGGUAAUGGCCUACCAAGGCGACGACGGGUAGCCGGCCUGAGAGGGUGACCGGCCACACUGGGACUGAGACACGGCCCAGACUCCUACGGGAGGCAGCAGUGGGGAAUAUUGCACAAUGGGCGCAAGCCUGAUGCAGCGACGCCGCGUGAGGGAUGACGGCCUUCGGGUUGUAAACCUCUUUCAGUAGGGAAGAAGCGAAAGUGACGGUACCUGCAGAAGAAGCGCCGGCUAACUACGUGCCAGCAGCCGCGGUAAUACGUAGGGCGCAAGCGUUAUCCGGAAUUAUUGGGCGUAAAGAGCUCGUAGGCGGUUUGUCGCGUCUGCUGUGAAAGACCGGGGCUCAACUCCGGUUCUGCAGUGGGUACGGGCAGACUAGAGUGCAGUAGGGGAGACUGGAAUUCCUGGUGUAGCGGUGAAAUGCGCAGAUAUCAGGAGGAACACCGAUGGCGAAGGCAGGUCUCUGGGCUGUAACUGACGCUGAGGAGCGAAAGCAUGGGGAGCGAACAGGAUUAGAUACCCUGGUAGUCCAUGCCGUAAAACGUUGGGCACUAGGUGUGGGGGACAUUCCACGUUUUCCGCGCCGUAGCUAACGCAUUAAGUGCCCCGCCUGGGGAGUACGGCCGCAAGGCUAAAACUCAAAGGAAUUGACGGAAUC